rnacentral:rRNA from 1 species
UAGAAGCCGAUGAAGGACGUUACUAACGACGAUAUGCUUUGGGGAGCUGUAAGUAAGCUUUGAUCCAGAGAUUUCCGAAUGGGGAAACCCAGCAUGAGUUAUGUCAUGUUAUCGAUAUGUGAAUACAUAGCAUAUCAGAAGGCACACCCGGAGAACUGAAACAUCUUAGUACCCGGAGGAAGAGAAAGAAAAUUCGAUUCCCUUAGUAGCGGCGAGCGAAACGGGAAGAGCCCAAACCAACAAGCUUGCUUGUUGGGGUUGUAGGACACUCUAUACGGAGUUACAAAGGACGACAUUAGACGAAUCAUCUGGAAAGAUGAAUCAAAGAAGGUAAUAAUCCUGUAGUCGAAAAUGUUGUCUCUCUUGAGUGGAUCCUGAGUACGACGGAGCACGUGAAAUUCCGUCGGAAUCUGGGAGGACCAUCUCCUAAGGCUAAAUACUCUCUAGUGACCGAUAGUGAACCAGUACCGUGAGGGAAAGGUGAAAAGCACCCCGGAAGGGGAGUGAAAUAGAACCUGAAACCGUGUGCUUACAAGUAGUCAGAGCCCGUUAAUGGGUGAUGGCGUGCCUUUUGUAGAAUGAACCGGCGAGUUACGAUUUGAUGCAAGGUUAAGCAGUAAAUGUGGAGCCGUAGCGAAAGCGAGUCUGAAUAGGGCGUUUAGUAUUUGGUCGUAGACCCGAAACCAGGUGAUCUACCCUUGGUCAGGUUGAAGUUCAGGUAACACUGAAUGGAGGACCGAACCGACUUACGUUGAAAAGUGAGCGGAUGAACUGAGGGUAGCGGAGAAAUUCCAAUCGAACCUGGAGAUAGCUGGUUCUCUCCGAAAUAGCUUUAGGGCUAGCCUCAAGUGAUGAUUAUUGGAGGUAGAGCACUGUUUGGACGAGGGGCCCCUCUCGGGUUACCGAAUUCAGACAAACUCCGAAUGCCAAUUAAUUUAACUUGGGAGUCAGAACAUGGGUGAUAAGGUCCGUGUUCGAAAGGGAAACAGCCCAGACCACCAGCUAAGGUCCCAAAAUAUAUGUUAAGUGGAAAAGGAUGUGGCGUUGCCCAGACAACUAGGAUGUUGGCUUAGAAGCAGCCAUCAUUUAAAGAGUGCGUAAUAGCUCACUAGUCGAGUGACACUGCGCCGAAAAUGUACCGGGGCUAAACAUAUUACCGAAGCUGUGGAUUGUCCUUUGGACAAUGGUAGGAGAGCGUUCUAAGGGCGUUGAAGCAUGAUCGUAAGGACAUGUGGAGCGCUUAGAAGUGAGAAUGCCGGUGUGAGUAGCGAAAGACGGGUGAGAAUCCCGUCCACCGAUUGACUAAGGUUUCCAGAGGAAGGCUCGUCCGCUCUGGGUUAGUCGGGUCCUAAGCUGAGGCCGACAGGCGUAGGCGAUGGAUAACAGGUUGAUAUUCCUGUACCACCUAUAAUCGUUUUAAUCGAUGGGGGGACGCAGUAGGAUAGGCGAAGCGUGCGAUUGGAUUGCACGUCUAAGCAGUAAGGCUGAGUAUUAGGCAAAUCCGGUACUCAUUAAGGCUGAGCUGUGAUGGGGAGAAGACAUUGUGUCUUCGAGUCGUUGAUUUCACACUGCCGAGAAAAGCCUCUAGAUAGAAAAUAGGUGCCCGUACCGCAAACCGACACAGGUAGUCAAGAUGAGAAUUCUAAGGUGAGCGAGCGAACUCUCGUUAAGGAACUCGGCAAAAUGACCCCGUAACUUCGGGAGAAGGGGUGCUCUUUAGGGUUAACGCCCAGAAGAGCCGCAGUGAAUAGGCCCAAGCGACUGUUUAUCAAAAACACAGGUCUCUGCUAAACCGUAAGGUGAUGUAUAGGGGCUGACGCCUGCCCGGUGCUGGAAGGUUAAGAGGAGUGGUUAGCUUCUGCGAAGCUACGAAUCGAAGCCCCAGUAAACGGCGGCCGUAACUAUAACGGUCCUAAGGUAGCGAAAUUCCUUGUCGGGUAAGUUCCGACCCGCACGAAAGGCGUAACGAUUUGGGCACUGUCUCAACGAGAGACUCGGUGAAAUCAUAGUACCUGUGAAGAUGCAGGUUACCCGCGACAGGACGGAAAGACCCCGUGGAGCUUUACUGUAGCCUGAUAUUGAAAUUCGGCACAGCUUGUACAGGAUAGGUAGGAGCCUUUGAAACGUGAGCGCUAGCUUACGUGGAGGCGCUGGUGGGAUACUACCCUAGCUGUGUUGGCUUUCUAACCCGCACCACUUAUCGUGGUGGGAGACAGUGUCAGGCGGGCAGUUUGACUGGGGCGGUCGCCUCCUAAAAGGUAACGGAGGCGCUCAAAGGUUCCCUCAGAAUGGUUGGAAAUCAUUCAUAGAGUGUAAAGGCAUAAGGGAGCUUGACUGCGAGACCUACAAGUCGAGCAGGGUCGAAAGACGGACUUAGUGAUCCGGUGGUUCCGCAUGGAAGGGCCAUCGCUCAACGGAUAAAAGCUACCCCGGGGAUAACAGGCUUAUCUCCCCAAGAGUUCACAUCGACGGGGAGGUUUGGCACCUCGAUGUCGGCUCAUCGCAUCCUGGGGCUGUAGUCGGUCCCAAGGGUUGGGCUGUUCGCCCAUUAAAGCGGUACGCGAGCUGGGUUCAGAACGUCGUGAGACAGUUCGGUCCCUAUCCGUCGUGGGCGUAGGAAAUUUGAGAGGAGCUGUCCUUAGUACGAGAGGACCGGGAUGGACAUACCUCUGGUGUACCAGUUGUCGUGCCAACGGCAUAGCUGGGUAGCUAUGUGUGGACGGGAUAAGUGCUGAAAGCAUCUAAGCAUGAAGCCCCCCCUCAAGAUGAGAUUUCCCAACUUCGGUUAUAAGAUCCCUCAAAGAUGAUGAGGUUAAUAGGUUCGAGGUGGAAGCAUGGUGACAUGUGGAGCUGACGAAUACUAAUCGAUCGAAGACUUAAUCAA